rnacentral:rRNA from 1 species
UUUGCGGCGGUCAGAGCCUGGGGGAGACGCCCGGUCCCAUUCCGAACCCGGAAGCUAAGACCCAGCACGGCGAUGGUACUGCACUCGACAGGGUGUGGGAGAGUAGCGCGCCGCCGCAU